GAGAGGAAGGUCCCCCACAUUGGUACUGAGACACGGACCAAACUCCUACGGGAGGCAGCAGUGAGGAAUAUUGGUCAAUGGGCGUAAGCCUGAACCAGCCAAGUCGCGUGAGGGAUGAAGGUUCUAUGGAUCGUAAACCUCUUUUAUAAGGGAAUAAAGUGCGGGACGUGUCCCGUUUUGUAUGUACCUUAUGAAUAAGGAUCGGCUAACUCCGUGCCAGCAGCCGCGGUAAUACGGAGGAUCCGAGCGUUAUCCGGAUUUAUUGGGUUUAAAGGGUGCGUAGGCGGCCUUUUAAGUCAGCGGUGAAAGUCUGUGGCUCAACCAUAGAAUUGCCGUUGAAACUGGGAGGCUUGAGUAUGUUUGAGGCAGGCGGAAUGCGUGGUGUAGCGGUGAAAUGCUUAGAUAUCACGCAGAACCCCGAUUGCGAAGGCAGCCUGCCAAGCCAUGACUGACGCUGAUGCACGAAAGCGUGGGGAUCAAACAGGAUUAGAUACCCUGGUAGUCCACGCAGUAAACGAUGAUCACUAGCUGUUUGCGAUACAGUGUAA
rnacentral:rRNA from 1 species